GGCCUCCCAAUGUUUACCACAGGUUGUGUUCUUUACACUGACUAUAGAAAGAGAAGGUACAGUAAAUACACCCUAUUUACACCUCAACCCAGGCCCUUUGCCUGGUCUGUACUGUGAAUGGGGGGACAAAA